rnacentral:rRNA from 1 species
GACGAACGCUGGCGGCGUGCCUAAUACAUGCAAGUAGAACGCACAGUUUAUACCGUAGCUUGCUACACCAUAGACUGUGAGUUGCGAACGGGUGAGUAACGCGUAGGUAACCUGCCUGGUAGCGGGGGAUAACUAUUGGAAACGAUAGCUAAUACCGCAUAAUAUUAAUUAUUGCAUGAUAAUUGAUUGAAAGAUGCAACUGCAUCACUACCAGAUGGACCUGCGCUGUAUUAGCUAGUAGGUGAGGUAACGGCUCACCUAGGCGACGAUACAUAGCCGACCUGAGAGGGUGAUCGGCCACACUGGGACUGAGACACGGCCCAGACUCCUACGGGAGGCAGCAGUAGGGAAUCUUCGGCAAUGGACGAAAGUCUGACCGAGCAACGCCGCGUGAGUGAAGAAGGUUUUCGGAUCGUAAAGCUCUGUUGUAAGAGAAGAACGGGUGUGAGAGUGGAAAGUUCACACUGUGACGGUAUCUUACCAGAAAGGGACGGCUAACUACGUG